rnacentral:rRNA from 1 species
GAUGAACGCUGGCGGCGUGCCUAAUACAUGCAAGUCGAGCGAACGGACGAGAAGCUUGCUUCUCUGAUGUUAGCGGCGGACGGGUGAGUAACACGUGGAUAACCUACCUAUAAGACUGGGAUAACUUCGGGAAACCGGAGCUAAUACUGGAUAAUAUUUUGAACCGCAUGGUUCAAAAGUGAAAGACGGUCUUGCUGUCACUUAUAGAUGGAUCCGCGCUGCAUUAGCUAGUUGGUAAGGUAACGGCUUACCAAGGCAACGAUGCAUAGCCGACCUGGGAGGGUGACCGCCCACAGAGGAACGGAGACACGCCCCAGCCACCUAGGGGAGGCAGCAGGAGGAAUUUUUCAGCAAGGGGCGAAACCCGGAGGGAGCACCCCGGGGUGGGUGAUAAGGGUUUCCGAAUCGAAAACCUUUUUUAUGGGGAAAAAACAUAUGUUUAAUUAACGGUCCAAAUCUGGGGGGACCCAAAUAAAAAACCCCCGGCUAACUACGU